rnacentral:rRNA from 1 species
AACGAACGCUGGCAGCAGGCCUAACACAUGCAAGUCGAACGCAUCGCAAGAUGAGUGGCGCACGGGUGAGUAACACGUGGGAAUGUAUCCUUUGGUUCGGAAUAGCGUCUGGAAACGGACGCUAAUACCGGAUGAGCCCUUAGGGGGAAAGAUUUAUCGCCGAAGGAGCAGCCCGCGUCUGAUUAGGUAGUUGGUGGGGUAAAGGCCUACCAAGCCGACGAUCAGUAGCUGGUCUGAGAGGAUGAUCAGCCACACUGGGACUGAGACACGGCCCAGACUCCUACGGGAGGCAGCAGUGGGGAAUAUUGGACAAUGGGCGCAAGCCUGAUCCAGCCAUGCCGCGUGAGUGAUGAAGGCCUUCGGGUUGUAAAGCUCUUUCGCACACGACGAUGAUGACGGUAGUGUGAGAAGAAGCCCCGGCUAACUUCGUGCCAGCAGCCGCAGUAACAC